rnacentral:rRNA from 1 species
UACGGGGGGGAGCAAGCGUUGUUCGGAUUUACUGGGCGUAAAGGGCGCGUAGGCGGCCUCUGCAAGUCGACUGUGAAAUCUCCGGGCUUAACCCGGAAAGGUCAGCCGAUACUGCAGGGCUAGAGUGCAGAAGGGGCAACUGGAAUUCUCGGUGUAGCGGUGAAAUGCGUAGAUAUCGAGAGGAACACCUGCGGCGAAGGCGGGUUGCUGGGCUGACACUGACGCUGAGGCGCGAAAGCUAGGGGAGCGAACGGG